UUCAGAAAGGAGGCCAGCAGGGAUCCAAGGAUGGUUCCUAGAGGAGAGAGGACAGAAGACUCCCCAAGGACACAGUGAGAAGGCUGCCAUCUACAAACCAGGAAGCAAGCCAUCGCUAGACACCUGUGGCACCUUGACCUUGGUCUCCCCGUCCUCCACAACUGUGAGAAAUAAAUGUUUGUUAUUUAAACCA